GGAUUCUGUGCGAGGGUUGAUGGAUGGUAAGGAUUACUGUACUACCAGUACGUGCUAUGUCAUGUAAUCUGUCAAUCACACUCUGUGCACUUGUGGAGUCUAGACCUGAAGUCGGUUCGUCGAGGAAGAGCAGAGCUGGUCCAUGAAUUAUGUCCACUCCAAUAGAAACUCUUCGACGCUCACCACCUGACACUCCUCGAGUCCCUUCAUCACCUAUUUUUAGGGCCGAAUGGAGAAUAAAAGGGAGGGGAAAAGCUUGACUGUGAAGUGUAAACUGGCUGGCUCCUGCAGGGAAGAAUGUCUUAGGAGGUAAUCCCAAUGUAUAUAACAUAAUGAAAUUUGUUUUCAUUGCUAAAUCCAAUUUUAUGUCGUUUUGAUCGAAAAGUAAUUCAAAUGAAAAAUCUUGUUUUCUUUAUCCAUUGAUUUUAACCUGUACUGUUUUUAACUAUUAUGGGUUUGUCCGAACAAUACAAAUUCUCAAGACAUUUGCUCGGAUCUUUUAUGCA